rnacentral:rRNA from 1 species
GACUUCAACGGACGGUGUACGGCUCAGUAACAAGUAGUCAAUCUGCCCUUUCGGACUGGCAUACCCUCGGGAAACUGAGGUUAAUUCCGGAUGGCCCAUCUCUGCUGGAAUGCUUGAUGGGCAAAACGCGCGGCGAAUUGGAGCCGUUGUGCCGAAGGAUGAGACUGCUCUUGAUUAGGUAGUUGGUGAGGUAACGGCUCACCAAGCCGAUAAUCAAUAGGGGCAAUGGGAGUUGGCGCCCCGAGAAGGGCACUGAGACAAGGGCCCUAGUCCUACGGGAUGCAGCAGGCGCGAAACCUUUACAAUGCGCGAAAGCGUGAUAAGGGAACUCUGAGUGGCAGCCGGCUUUUGCCGACUGUCUUUUGGCGAACCUAAACCGUUCGCAGAAUAAGUUCUGGGUAAGACCAGUGCCAGCCGCCA